GGUGACGCUGCAGAAGAAGAUGUCUGAGUUUAAGGUCGUCAGUUUUUUAACAUGGCGUCCAAAUGUUAGGAUCUGUUUUUGCCGCUGCUGUUUCUGAGUUUCCCUCCUUUUUCCAAACCCACACUCCUGUUUUCACUCCUCUCGUUAGCUCUGACCCUCACCUGUAAAAACCCGGAUAAUUUAAACAAAUUCAGGACACUCACCGACUGACCAAACCUGCUCACACUUCCUCGUUUAAAACCAUGCGGUAAGUUCUUCAAUCUCUUUCAGUGUUUUAAAGUUUACCCACUUUGCUCUGCAUGUUUGUGGAGAAUUUUCUGAUCGUGUUAAAGCGACUCUACAUAUUUGAUAAAAAUGCUCCUUCACUGUCAUCAAACUGAACCUGAGAGAGCAGAGAUCUGUCCGACCAAAGCGCCUCUCUUGUCUCCCUCUUUAUCGUCUUCCUUCUCCGUCUGCAUUAGUGGAGCUAUAAAUAGAAGAAGCACUUUCACGUCAGCCGUGAAAACUGAGUCCUUUUGUGUCUGAGCUCUUGACGUCUCUUUUGUGAUCAUGACUGGGUUUUUUUUGUUGUUUUGUCUCACCUGCUCAGUCCUGAAUCAUCACUUCUCCAAAAACAGCUCUUUCUUUAUCGCCCUUUUUGCACGAACAUCUCUCAGGCGGUUCAUGAAGCUCUCGAACGCUCGGGGUCGUUUGUUUGCGUGUGAUUAUCCUCCCAUUUAACCUCUGCUGCCCGACUCCUCACAACUUUAUUUGCAUGUGCUGUCACAGAGACUGAUGGCUGAGACAACAGAGGAGGAGGAGGAGGAGGAGGAGGAGGAGGAGAGGGGUGAGGGUGCAGGGGAUGGGAGGUAAUCAAAGGGAGGAGGCAGCGAUGACUCAGAGAUUUUGAGGCGCUGUCUCCUCUGGUUGCCUGUCUGUCUGUCCGUCUGUCCAACAAUCUGCUGACUCCUCACACCUCUGUGGUCACGAUCUGCCAUGACCCAAACAGAAACCUGACCCGGGGAUCGACAUUAAGAAUUAUUUUAGAGGAAAACUCUCGUGCAGUUCUGACAGGAGUUUAUUUUUACUCUUUAAUCGCGUUAAAGGAAAUUUGAUUUGUUCAGAUCCUCGAUCGUGGACCUCGUCAUACACACCCCUGGAGACGAGACCUCAGACACCGUUUCUCUGGAUUCAGGGAGAGCAGAUGUUUUAGAGUCAUCCUGUGAGGAGGCGACAGGGUGAAAAAAUGUGCAUUAAUUUUACGAUACCGAUAUAUUAGCCGUCAAUAUUAGCGGGUACCGAUAUUGAUCCAAUAUUAGAACAAACUUCUGUUUUUCACUCAGCUGCAACGUCUUGUUCGGACUUUAAUGAAAAAUACGUCAACUGUUACUGGAUUGUUAACUUUAUGUGCCGAUCAACAAGUUUAACGUGGAUCAUUGAGCAUGAGGACUGAGCCAAUCAAAACAGCCGAUCAUGACAAAUCACAGCGUAAAAUUAACUAGGGAUGUUCCGAUACAAUAUCGAUAUUGGAUAUCGGUCCGAUAUCAGCAAAAAUUCGAAUAUCGGAUUAUAUAUCGUCCUGCGUCUAAAAUCUCCGAUAGAAGCAGUCCAUUCCAGACUCCGCUCCGGCACCUCUAUCUAACAGCGCCUUGAUCUAAUGCUGCGUUCAAGUUACUUUGGAAGUCAGAUGUCGGAGCUGAAAAUAACGUCAUACAGCGCGAGUUACCAGCGCAAGUCGGAAAAAGCAGAAUCGGAGGAGGAAAGAAGAUGGCUACAUCUACGAAAGUUAUUUUAGGGCUUUCCUUGUUUGAAUAUUAGGCUAGCGCUAAAAUAACUUUCACAGAUGUAGCCAUCUUCUUUCCGCCUCCGAUUUUGCUUUUUUCCGACUUGGUAACUAAAAUGCUGGGAACUUGGGUGUGACGUCAUUUUCAACUCCGACAUCUGACUUUCAAGGUAACUCGAACCAGUGUUGUUUUCGUUAACGCCCCUUUAUUUUUCGCAACGAAGACGUGACGUUGACGAGCUAAUCAUAAGUCUUAGAUGACUAAACUGUGACGAGACGAAUGUGCGUUUACAAGACGAGACGAGACUAGACGAAAACUUAAGUGGUGGACGACAAACAGAGUUGCAAAAUUCAUGAGCAUUUCAUCAGUCAAACGCUAAACAUAUAUUCUGUUGUGUUGUUUUUGUUGACGAUGACAAAAACAACGAUCAACGAUCAACAAAAACAACACUGACUCGAACGCAGCAUUAGAUCAGGGCGCUGCUACAUAGAGGUGCCGGACCGGAUUCUGAAAUAGACUGCCUGUAUCGGAGUGUUGAUAUCGGAGAUUUUAGACGCAGGCCGAUAUACAAUCCGAUAUUCAAAUUUUUGCUGGUAUCGGACCGAUAGCUGAUAUCGAUAUUGUAUCGGACACUCCUAAUUAAUUUUACACUGAGAUUUGUCAUAAUCGGCUGUUUUGAUUGGCUCAGUUAUCAACGUUAGACUUGUUGAGCCGCACAUACCGUUGGAAAUCCACUAACAAUUGACGCAAACCUCGUGCCGCCGCCUCUGUAGCUUUGGCGAGUUUCCUGCAGCGCUCAGAUCUUCUCACUUCACACUCCAGCUUGCGUGAACUCGCUGCAGGCGUUUAUUUCAGCUCAUUUCACUAUGAGAGACAUCGUUCACUCAGACACAGGUUUUAUUCCUGGUCUGUAUCACACUUCACAGGUUCUGAGUCAUGUUGUUCUCAUUUCCACCUCUGUUUCUGUGACCGCGCUGACGAUCUGUGAAAACAUGAAAUGGUGUUUUUCUCAGCUCUGUCUUUUCAUUCUGCUGUCUGAGCUGUUGAACAACAAAUCUCUGCUCCUGUCCGGAUACGAAUCAUUCAUGUUUUUGUCAGGAUGUAGAUGUUCUCGUGUAAGCUCUCGUUCCACCACGUCAGCUUCUUAAAUAUGAUGCAGCUGCGAGAGAAAAGUCUUCAUUGACCUUUAACCUUUGGAAGAUUUAAUUGGUGUAAUUUUCACUGUCUGGAUACUCGCCAUCUUGCACAAAAGAAACACUUUAGACGUCUGAUCUGUGCAGCUGUACGAUGAAGAACUCGUCUGUUGUGUCUAUUUCUAGCAGCUGGUUUAGUCUCUCUUUUUUCAGGAGCAGCCUCAGAAACGUCGCACAGCAGGAGGGGAGGAUGUGGUUCAGUUUUGAUGAAGGUAGGGUGAGAAACUACAGUGAGGUAGACAUGUUUAGAAGACGGGACAGAAGCAGCGAUACAGUCACGAAGCUAAUGCACGUUUAUUUUUGUUAAACAUCUGAUUUACCUAAAUUUCAAAGUUAACUCAAACACUUGCUAAAUCUGAGGUAAUCCAGUAUCAGUGUUGGGGGUAUUGCACUACAAAGUAACGGAUUACAGUAACAUUAUUACUUUUUUGAGGUAACGAAGUAAAGUAACGCACUACACUAAAACAAUCGCUAACUUAAUUACUUUACGAAACAAUAGGAGCGCGCCUUUCUUUUCUUGGAGAGAUCAAUUUAAGUAAUGUAGCUGCUGAUGCGAAAGAGAGAUGGAAAUGGAGACAGAGAUGGUGGCAGACGACACAGGGGCUUUCGGCAAAUGGCGAUUCUCGCAUUACUUUCGCUAUAUUUAUUAAAAGGACAAAAAUAUUUGUGUGAAAUGCACUCUGUGCCCAGGCGCAAUGGUAGAAUGCGGACUAUGUUAGUAAAUUAAGAAGCAGGAAAGUAAAGUAAUAAGUUGUCAAGUUACUUUUCAAAUGCAGAAAGUAGUUAAGAAAUCUUAUUACAAUUUACAGAAGUAACUAGUUACUAGUAACAAAUUACUUUUUAAGAGUAACUACCCCAACAUUGUCCGGUAUAUAUCUAUAACUAUUUUAAAUUAUCAAGUCUUAAAGGGGAAAGUUUAGGAGCCUCUGCUGUAAUCGAGGAUAUGUCUCCACUAAAAAUUAAGCUGCUUUAACACGAUCAACCUCCCCUUUUUGUUUAACCACGCUGCAAAUAUAACAUGAGGUCAGUAGAGGGUUAACUCGCUUUCAGCCAGCCCCCGGUGGCCAUCUGAGGAACUGCAGUGCUGUGAGAUUCAAUAAUCCAUACAUAAACCAACGCUCCUGUUAUGAUCUGACUUUAAGGGAAUAUUUUGGUGCUGAGUCUCCCUUUUCCGCUGAAGUCCUGGUUCUGUUCGGGUCAUCCUCCAGAACUAAAAGCACAUCUGUUAAAGAGAAAGCUUUUCUUUCUUAUUCUAACCAUUGGAUAUUUAUGUUCUACAUCAGAGACGGGGAGUUUGUUCUUAAAGGAGAUUUAAAUAAAUUAGACGAAGACAGAAAAGCGUCUUAUGUUAAAGGCGGAUAAACAAAUGUGAUGUAAAAUGUAGAAGUCUUCGGCGCUGUUGGUUGGUGGAGCGCUGUGAGCUAACAAUCGAUGGCAGGAUGACUCAGUGGGAUGGAGGAAGUCCAUGUGGGAGGGAAGGUUAAGAGAGGACGCCGCUGAGAGCUUUUGGACCGAGGAAGCGUUUUAUUACUGGAGCUCCAGAUGCCUCUCGUAUGAAAAACAGGGGCUACAUACUGAUAUACACGUCUGGAUUUAAAAAAAAGGAGAUUAUUUCAUUAAAUUUAGCUUUUUUGUUAAAGCAGAUGUCGUACAGCAUCAGGAAAUCGACUCUGCCCGUGAGAGGACAUAAAUCCCAAAGCCGUCCAAGACUGUAAAAAAGGAGGUGGUAAAAUCUGCAGGAAGGAAGAGAAACAAACAUGACAUCUUUGGAAAAAAGCAGGGCCUGUUUUUGAGAGUAGAGGGUGAUGUGUUGACGUCUUCGAGGAUGAUGUGGUCCAGAAAUAGAGAUGGUGGUUUUCAUUAAACUGAUGUCAACGUGGCACCCGAAAAAAAAACUGUUAAUACUCAUGAGAAGAAGGAGCAGAAAUCCACCCAGUUUGACUUAGUUUGGUAUUUUCAUCUUUUUUAACCCUCCUCCUGUGUAAAGGUCUGCACCGACCCGUUUUUGAAGAACCACUUAAAUUUGCUUUUUUGUAUCGAGACUUUUGAACUUUGUCAGGAACCUCAAUUUCAACAAAGUGAAAAUAAAACAAUCAAUCCAGGCCGCAUAGAAUGGCACUCGUGAGACCGUUUUUCAAGGCACUCGGGAGAAAGGAAUCGGUAAGAUAAAAUGUAAAUGUUGUCGAUGGAUUGAACCAUUUGGAACCGGUUCUCAACAAGAACUGGUUCAAGAUUCCCAUCCCUAAGUCUGUGUGAGGGGUAUACCGACAAAGAAAGACCCAGAGGACCACAACAAAAACUAAUAUAGGCAAUAUUUUCAUGGAUAGUGAAGCGUAACAAGGUAACCUAGAGAUGUGAACCAAACUGGAUGAUAGAGAACUGAUUUUAGUGUAAGUGUAGGAUGUGUCGUAAAAGCUAACUCCGGAGGAAGGUUAAAUAAAUGUUGAUUUCUAGGCUGAAGGCGGUGAGUUUUGUUUGGUCCUUGUUCGCCUUAUCGCUCACAGGUCUCCACCCCUGUUUGACCCUAAAUGGACCGUUAUUAUCAUCAUGUCGUCCUAAAGAAGACCCAAACUAUCAUAUUGUUGUGAAACGGCUCAUAAAGGUGAUAAAUGAAAUGUUGUGGAGCUGCUUUAUUAAAGUGGAGGACACAUCAUCUCCUGCUUGAUGAAUGUCCUCUCUGUCUGUUACAUGGAUGAUAAGAGGUGUUGUUUGUCGAGAUAAGGCCUUGGGAGGCAGCGGCGUCUACUCACUGACUCAUUUUUUUUCCCACUUUGACACCGCCGCCUUUGUUCGUAGCUUUAUUGUUCACGCCGCGCUGUUUUCACCCUUGUAUCGCCUCGUUUAUAAGCCGCGCAGCAGCCUGCAGGUUUGCAUUGUUCAGCAGACUCUCUGGAUGUAUCGUGAGAGCAAUCUGAAGGCCAGAACCGGCGAACGCACGCCUGAAAACAGCCCCUGAUAAUGACCCCGCUCAGACCCGCCGAUGUGGCGGUUUUCAUUGAAUCUGAGGAUUAGCGGCCAGUUGUCCCUCUGCUUCUCAGGGGCCCAGGCUGCCCCUCUCUCUGGACAAUCGCUCACACACUGACACACAAUGUGGAGGUUCAGCUCAGGUCACAGUCGGACUGGUUCUGUAGUAGAAAGGUUCAAAAGCUUGAGUUACAGUUUUACCAAGAAUAAGAAUCACAAUCCAUCGUGAAGUGCGCCGACGGACCGGAGUCAGAGUCCACCACAGAUCAGGCUGAACAGACUCAGACUUUCUUUGAACACAGUGGCUCAACAAAGUCUAAAGCGAGAAACAACAGGUGUCACUCAGCUGGUUAUGAACUUUGUCUGCAAUCAUAUCGUUAUCAGGAUGUUUUAUAACCACGGUGACCGCGAGGUGAAAGUUGGUGUCAGGCAAUCAUCUCAAGUCAAACGGCGCUCUUUUAUGACAUCAAUAAUGAGGACUCGGGCUGUUUUUGGAUUGGCCUACUGCAGGGGUGGGCAAUCAUGUGCCAUGGAGGGCCGAGAAGCUGCAGGUUUUCUUUCCAACCCAAAACUCCACCAGGUGAUUUCACUGAUUAGUCCCUGCUCUCUGCUUGGAGGUAAAGUAAUCAGUGAAAUCACCUGGUGGAGUUUUGGGUUGGAAAGAAAACCUGCAGCCUCUCGGCCCUCCGUGGCACAUGAUUGCCCACCCCUGGCCUACUGCGUCCUCCUGUCCAUACUGUAUACUGAGUACUGUGUUUGAUAGUAGUAUGCAGUAGGCCAAUUUGAAAACAGCCUGAGUCUGUAAGUCGGCUGUUAUUCUGUAGUAUUUUUGGCCCAGUUUAGCUGGUUUUCAGUAUGAAAAAGUACAUCGGUACCCUGGUAAAUUGAUUUUUUUUUUUCGGGACUUUGCAGCCCAGAACCAGCCAUCAAAACCUUCUCUGUCUUUGCAAUGACUCGUCGAUCUGGCGGCAUUUGAUUCUCAUCACGGCGCAGUAAAUACAGCAAAGUUAUGUUGUCGGUUAUGUUGUUCUCGUUUCCUGCUUAAAGGAAAGAAGUUGCAAUCCUCGCUAAACGUGUCAACUGAUGGCGUCUGCGUGGCGUGGUCUUAUUUCCCGUUGUCCCGAUAGUUUGACAAUUACAGUAAAAAUCCUCUAAUCCAAACUCCUGUCUCCUGUCAGUUUAUUUCAAAUACCGUCUUGUGUGCUGAUUUAGUCCGACUGUUUGAACGUUUACUCACCUUUCUGUAUUAAAGCUGUAGACCCCCUCUAAUACCAGAUACCUGUCCAGCUGUGUGAUGGAAACAUCAGGCGUACCGUAUAGAAUAAAGGAUGAAGAGAAGCAGGAAAAUUUGAGGCAAUGGAAAUAGAUGAUAACAAUUGUACAGUAUGGUAACAAAACAUUCUUGUCAGUGGUUUUCCCACAUAAUGCUAAAAGAAGAAGAAGGAGAAGACAGGCUGUCAGAGGGAGAAAUCUUUUAGCUGCCCUCUUGGAAAAUGAACGCUCCGGUGAAAAGUUUCGCAGCUCUCCGCUGUUCCGACUGGUCUGAUGUAUCCUGUGAAAUUUUCCCGAAUCAGUACGUCAUCUGGGUAUUUUUGGCAUACUGCAAAUUUCGCAUUUGUUCGCCUACUGCAGACUGAAUUUUGGGCACAUCACUACAUACUGCUAAUAUACUAGGUGAAUUCGAAAACAGCCUCAGACUCUGCUCAGACCCGGGUAACCAGGACUUGACUUUAGACUUAGUGACGAGACCACAGCGUUCAUUGUAGCUUUACGCUGGAAUGAUGUUGAUGCUGCAGGUGUGAAGCUGUUUUGUUUAUUCUCUUGGCUGUGAUUGUAAAUAUGACAGAUUACUCUACUGUAGAUGCAAUAACAAAUGACUUGUCCAUAUUUAGCAUGAAUUAAAAACAUCUGCAAGACAAUCUUUGAUGCCAAAACGUCAAGUCUGGGCCGUCUGGUUUUGGAGUUUUGAGUCACCUGGAAAAAACAAACUGAAUAUUCGACCUCUUAUAGAGUUAGACUUGUCAGAGUUGGGUCUUCAAAAACAGACUUCUUGAGUUUUGUUUUCUUUUUUUUUCCUGCUUUUAUGUUGUUGUUUUCUUUUUGUGACUGGAUAUUAAUGAUUCAGGAAUUAGCCACGUCCAGGUAAAAGCCUGCCAGCUGCUGCCGUUGUUGUUGUCUCGGAGGUUGUGAAUGGAUUCAUGCGCCCGUGGAGCCGCUUCUAGAUGAGCCUUGGCACUCCAGCAUUCACAGCUAAUGGAUUCACGAGUGGCUCUGUAAAUAGGCCAUGGCACAGGAGCCGGCCAACACGGCCGCCAGCUCCUGAAUAAUGCAUGAAGGUAAAUUUGAAAAAUCACUUCCGGCUUGAGGAGACUUGACUGAAACUGAAGGCUUUCAAAAGUCAGACACACACUUUGAGCGGAGUAGAAAUAUUUUGAUUAUUUCUGGCGUUAUUUUCGUUUUCUUUAUUCGCGCUGAUACAUGAGGGCUUCAGGGAGAGGCAGACAUCAGGAGAGUGAACCUCCAGAGCUUUUUUUAAUCCUCUUUGAGUAUUUUCAACUCUUUAUUCCCAUUAUAUCUCAGCUGGUACAUUUUGUGCAUCACAUUUAAUGAAACACGCUUUAAAUCCUGUUGUCAUUUUAGAGAUCUGGGGUCGUCAUUUAAGUUUUCGUCAUGUUUUGCAGGUUCACUCUUCACUCAGAUUGUAUGUUUGUUCAAAAAGAAAACUCUUUAAUGGUGUCUGAAUACUUCCAGAGUCACCCUGUGCAGCCGGUGUCACCCAUAAUGUCAGUGGAGGAGGGUUUACAGGACCGUUGCAGGGUUACUCCACUGCUGGGCGAGUGUGGCGACACAUUGUAGUGACAGUGGUGAAUUGGAUUAUGGAGCAGCUUGACGGCACCAACCAGAGCUCUGGAUGAGAGGCUCUUUCAUUUCAGUGUGGAGCUAUUUUUAAGCAGAGAGAGAAAGAGAGAGAGAGAGUGAGAAGAGUGAGAGAGUCACACACGGGUCUUUAAUGAAAAUAGAGUCAACAUAAUUUUGCAGCGAUGGCAGGAAAAAAUUGACCCCCCUCUGUUUUUACUUUCUCUUUUCCCAGCAUGUGGUUUCAUAUCCAUCUUGUCUGUAAAAGUGGAAUUUUCUCUCUUAUAGUCUGUCAGUAAAGCUUUACUAAUGCACACAUAACUUAGAAGUACUUUAUGUUAUUCUUUGGAGUAUAACUGCAGACAAAUCUGUAUCAUGGUCUGAAAUCAGAUCUAAAAUCAAACAUUAAAGCUCCUGUGAGGACUUUUUUUGAUGUAUAUGAAACAGAUGCAAAUUCAUUCUAUAAUAUAAAAAAAUCAAACUAGACCGUCAGCAACAGUAUUAACAAUUUUAAGUGUGUAAUUUUUACUUCCCCAAAGACUGUCAGGAGGGGGUAGGUGUAGCACUUAAAGCUCCAGUGUGAAGCUUUCAGCUUGUGUCAGUUUUGGCGCCCCCCUGUGGACAAAGCAGCCUCAUCCUUGACUCACUCAUAAAGUGCCUUCUGACAGAAAAAUCUCAUUAUACUGACUAUUGAGUGUCAAAUUGAUCAUAUCUCGUAAAUGUGUUAUGUGGAAAAUCUAAAUAUGUUUCUUUGGCUGCUUAGCUGACACCUACCCUCUCGCACCGGCAUUUCAAAAUUUGAAUAGAAAGGUCGUGAAUAUGGUUACUAAAGGUAUUAUUUAAUUUAAUAUAUCAUAUAAAGGCAUCUGUAUAAAUUUCAGUCCAUUUCAGUACCACCAAAAACUCCUUAUCAUAUUGAAUCGUACCGUACCAGAUCGUAUUGUAUCAUAUCGUGUCAUACUGCAUCAUGUCGUAUCGUAUCAUAUUGUAUCAUAUUGGAUAGUACUGUUGUAUCACAUUGUAUUGUACUCUCUGGUAUCUUGUCACAUCGCAUCGUAUCAUAUCGUAUUGUACCAUAUCGUACCAUAUUGUGUCGUAUUGUACCAUAUCCUAUCCUAUUGCGUCGUAUUGUAUGAUGUCAUAUCGCACUGUAUCGUAUCGUACAACUUGGUAUUGUGCCGUAUUGUAUUAUUUCGUAUCUUUUUGUAUCAGAUCGUGUCGUAUUGCGUCAUAUCGUGUCAUAUCAUAUUGUAUCAUAUUCUAUCCUUUUAGGUUGUAUUGUGCCGUGUCAUAUUGCACUAUAUUGUAUUGUACUCUCUGGUGUCAUAUCGCAUCGUAUCGUAUCAUAUUCUAUCCUAUCCUAUUGGGUAGUAUCGUAUCGUGUCAUAUCACACUAUAUUGUAUCGUAUGACCUGGUAUCAUGUCUUACGUAUUGUAUCGUAUUAUAUCAUAUCGUGUUGUAUCCGAUUAUUUAAUUUCAUUUCAUAUUGUAUCAUAUCGCUUCAUAUUGGUUCGUAUUUUACCCUUUUGCGUUGUAUCCUAUCGUGUCAUAUCGCACUAUAUUGUAUACUACAUUGUAUCGUGUCAUAUAUCGUAUCAUUUCAUAUCGUAUCGUAUUGUAAUAUUUCGUAUCAUGUUGUAGUCUGUUGUUGGUUACUGGAUUGUAAUGCAUCAUCCCUUAUAUUGUAUCCUAUCAUACUAUCAUGUAUCAUAUAGUUUUAAGGGAAGUGAUUACUGCUCACAUCUUCAGAGCGCUCGUCGAGCUGAAAUCGGUUUGUAAUUCUAUCUUCAGCAGACGUCAGAUUUUUACUCAGCAGCCCCGAUGUGUCUGCUGUGAGAGAGAGUGAGAGCAAUUUGCCACAUCAUCCAGGACACACAUGAGGCUGUGACGCAACCUCAGAUUAAUAUCCAGUAGAUCACCCCUGGAAGCUCCACACAGACGCAAACAUGAGAGGGAGAAGGGGGAGGAUGGGGGUGUGUGUGAUCCCCUAGAUAGCAUCAACCUUAACUCCACCACCACCACCAUCUCCUCCUUCUGACCUGCACCCUGCUGCCAGCCUCCCCAGUCUUAUUCACUGCUUUGUUACGCAACAGGGGGUUUGGGCCAUGUGCUACAGGCUAGUUAAGUAUUUAUCAGACCUCUUGUGUAAGCUGGGGAUGGCAGGCGGCUGCCACUCGCCUCUCUCCUCUUCCUCUAUUGCUCUAUCUCUCUCCCCUGCCAAGCUUGAUCUAUUUUCCUCCCAUUACUGCGUAUGUGCUCACAGGAAACCCAGAUGUCACGACCAACCCUCUCCCCUGUGUGUGUCUAUGUGUGUGUGCAAAGAUCCAGGUGUGACAUUUGAUGAUAACGCUCGAUUCUUAUGCAGCAACAUAACUUAGCCUCCUGUUGUCCCCUGAGUGAUGCUCUUCGCUCCUCCUCUCCGGAGAAAACAAAACGUGCGCACACGGAGCUGUUUAUCACCCCCAGACACAGGCCGAGACAGAAAAUCAAACAUGCAGUGAUUGAGCUCCUCCACAACCGCAAGUCACUGUCACAAGUUUUACUGUAGCUCUUUAUGAGUAAAACCCCAUCUUGCAAAUCAAACUGAAAUUCCCAUGAUGCAUUGUGGUGGCAGACAGAGAGCGCAGGCUGAGACCCAGUCUGUCAAGAGCCUGGUGGAUUACACCCAUCACAGGACUGUCAGCAGAGGCAUUUGCAGGAGGACGGAGCAGUGAGGGAAAAGGUAACUCAGCACCUGGACUCUGGUGUCUAUGGCUGCAGCGGCGAGAGUUCAGGACGAGAACGAGCUGAGAGGAUGAGGACAGAUCUCAGACAGCGAAGACUCAGACAGACUUUGUGUUUAAGAAGUAGCUAGGAUGAGGAGUGGUCUGGUUUCCAUGUUUGAUAUAUUUGCAUUAAGAGUUAAGUUAACCCAGGAUUUGGUGCGCACGAGAAAAGUGGUGUUGAUUGUAUGGAGAGCAAAAGCAGGCAGGAGGCAUCCACCAUACUGUUAGGGUGACUAUAAGUCCUCUUUUACCCGGACAUGUCCUCUUUUUGGGGAGCUGUCCGGCCUUGUCCCGCCUGUCCGGGGAGUUUAUAAAAUACUUCAAAUAUCGAGAGUUUUGAGUUUGUGUAGCGUUGACUAAAAAAUACUCGACCCGACCCGAAAAACCCUCAAAAUUUAGUGUGCGACUCGUCGAUCACCAUGCCCUGCAUAGUAGUAUCCUCUUUUUGGGGAUCCAUAAUAUAGCCACCCUAAUUAUGUUAUUCUGGCUCCUAUCAGUGAGAUCCUGGCAUUGAUUUAGGACUCUAAUGAAUGCAGUUAGAUCUACCUUAUGAUCUUGACUCUUUGAUUUAUUAUUAACAUAGAUGCUGCACCAAAGUGCUCUGAAACCGUAUUUUAAAGUUGAAGGCAGCUUUAAGUGUGAUUUAUGUCUUUUAAAGGAUAAAACUGUUUACAUGACGAAAAUGCAGGAAUGCACGGACAAAUUGUCCGAUCAGUGUUUGUGAAAUUAUUCUGGGAUCACUUUGAUUCCUCGUUAAUGUGACCCUCUUCAGGAGUUCCAGUCUGGUUGCUUACUCUAUUGUUCCCCGUGAUGGUUUUGGUAUUUAAGUGGGUUGUUUUACUUCUGUUGUGGGGCCACGGUGGCUGGCAUACUGUAAAAAUUUCAGUUUACAGACAUUACUGUAGUUCUCUUUGUUUUGGUACCUAACGACCCUGAUUUUUAAUCUCCUUCAGUUUUGAUUUUUUGGCCUUUAACUAUAAUCCACAGCCUAAAAGGGUCUGUAAUUCAAAAUAAUAAAAAAAAAAAAUGAUUCAAAACAUGGAAAAAAAAGAAUAAAGAUUAAAAACUUUAAAAAAAUAAAUAAAUUGAAAUUAUCCACGGCCUAAAAUGGUCUGGGAUUAAACAUUUAAUAUAUAUUAAAAUGAAUAAAUAAAUUUUGAAAAUUAAAAAAAAGGUAAAAAAAUCAAUAAAUAAAAAUUAUCCCGGCCUGAAAGGGUCUGUGAUUCAAAAUUAAAAUAAAAUAAAAAGUAAAAAAAUAUAUAUUCAAAUAAAAAAAAAUUUUAAUUAAAAAAUGAAAAAAAAAAUUACCCACAGCCUCAAAGGGUCUGUGAUUCAAAAUUAAAAUAAAAAAUAAAAAAUAUAUAUAAUGAUAUAAAUUUAUUCAUUUAUUUAAAAAAAUAUUUUUUUAAAUAAUUUAUUUAAAAAAAUAUUUUUUUAAAUAAAUUAAUUAAUUUAUUUAAAAAAAUGACCAACCUAAAAAUUAGCCACGGCCUUAAAGGGUCUGUGAUUGACAUGAUUGUACAGGCAGUUGAUGCAGACCUUGAUAAGCUGCAUUGAAUUAAAGUGAAAAUCAUGAUGAAGACCUCUUGAAACUUCUGUCUUGUUUUCAUUUUCUAUUUUUCUUAUAUCACAGUCUUAUUUUUCACUCUGGAGCUGCUGCUGCUGAGCUAAUAUUAAACUGAGACAUUUCUCUUCCUCCUCGUCACCUCCUGCUGUGCUCUCUCAGCCAUCAGAGGUUUGCACACACCUUUUCACGGAUUCAUUUUUAUAUUAGUGGGGACAAGAGAGAAAACUUGAGAGUGUUCGUCCCCCCUGAGGAAAUGCUUAAAAAAGCACACAGCUGCCAUUAAUAUUUAAAUUUGGCACCUCAGCUGGUCAGCUCUGCUUACAGCUUCUAAAAAGAUGUCGAGUCACUGCUUUGCAGCUGUUGACGGCGUUGUCAUCAGCUCUGUCCUGCAGAACCGGAGAAUAAAACUCACCAAAACAUUCUGAUUACAGCACUUUAGGGUGUGCAUGUGGACGGUGUGUAAUCCUUAGUGAAACAAUGGGACAUAAAAGUUAGUCAUGUGUAAAGCAGCUUGAAAAAGUAAACCUAAUCUUUACAAUAACGUGCAACAAAUCUCAAACCUAUGCUGCAAUAGUCACUGUGUAAUAUCUGCAAGGUAAUAAAGAUGAGUGUCGCUCAGUUAGAUGUUGUACCGCAGUUUUAUCCCUUUUAUAUUGAUGCUACAUGUAAGCAGAUGUUUUUAAAGCAAACGUGCACAAUUAUUUUUUGCACAUCUUCAUGAGUCUAGUGCAGAAGUUUUUAGGCUUUUAAUUAAUCACAAAUUUAGACCUAAACGGAUUAAAAAUGCAAAAUAAUAGAAUAGAAUAGAAAAGUUGUUCUCGAUGGAUAAACAACCGUAAAGAGAAAAGCUGGUAUCCUGUAUCUGGGUGUUUGCGUAUUGAUUUGUGCCUAAUAUUAGGGUUAAUGGGGAUUGAUUCACUCUAGGAGCCAGCCCCAAAUGGCCACUUGAGGAACUGCAUUUUUUGACUUCAACUCCAAAAUCCUAAUAUAAUCUUAUCUUUAUCAUUUUACACUCCUGCACCUCAAAUUUAUAUUAUAAAUCUGGUAACUAUUACACAACUUAUAAGGCAACUUUGUCUGGAUAAUACUGAUGUUAGCAUUUAAUCACAGUCCUUACUACUUCACAACUAUUUUGACGAUGAUUCUCAUUCAAUCAUAAAAUAUUUAUAACAUCUUAAGACACUCUGAAUUUUGCUCAUUGAGUGUUACAAUCUUUGAUUUAAAGCUCCUUUGAGAAACUUUUAUAUGUUUACAAAACCCACUGGAAUUCAUGUGACUGCCUUUUAAUGAUAAACAAAAGCAGCCUAGCCCAAAAUCAGCAAGAGUGAAGAUCUUUAUAACUCUAUUUCUGCUGUCUGGAACCGGUGUGAGGAGGUAGUCCAGGCCCUGAAGCCCAGGGACCAGCCUUGUUUUUAUAAUAUCUACAUAAAAUAUUCACAAUAAAUGAUACGUUUGACUGUCAAAAGUCAGCAUGUUGAGAUUUGUUGUCAUGAAUCAACACUACUGCAUGUAGCAGACAAGAUAAGUAAAGACUCUUUGUCCACAGGAGGCGCCAAAAUUGACACAGACCAAAAGUUCCUCACAGGAGCUUUAACUGAGGAAAAUAAUCGUUUAUAUCUGCUCUCUUGGAAGCGUCCUUCACUGAGAUGAUAAAGGAGGACUAGUUUCUCCGGUGAGAGAGAUCAGAGGACUGAAUCUAGGAGCAGAUUGUGUCCAGAUGGUGGAUAACACCGACAAGAAUACUGCUAAAUACCACAAAUGAGAAAAAAACACGGACACAGACGCUGUAGGAAGAGUUUGUUUAGCACUCCUGAGCCGAGCUAUCGAUCGGCUGUACAGUGAGUCUUUAGUGAUGGGAAGUGUGACACUAACGUCCCUCCCUGACUCCCACAGCGAUCACUCUGGAGCCAAAUGUUAUGUCUACUCUUGAAUGGAAAAUUGCCGAGGUGGAAUAUUCACCCACACGCUCUGGGGUUGAAUGCUCUGCCUGGGCGCCCAAGAGUCACAACUAAGGUCCCAUUAGCAUUUGAUGGUCUCAUUAAACAGCCCAUUAGGGAGCCUCGCUGUGAGGACGGAGGCUCAGUGGGCUGGUUUGUGGUUUGAUAGCCACAUGGUGCCGCUCUGCCAAGUUCCCCUGAAGGAGUAUGCGGUAUGUCUCUGCCGUUUUUGUUCAUAUUGUUUUGUCUGAGGUGGUUCUAGUGGGCUGUGUUGUUUCAGUACCGGAGAGGUUGGACCAUCUUACCCACCUCAUCUGCUGAUUUUCUGGUUUCUUCAAGACUUUGGACUUUUUUCAUACAAAAACAUAUUUUAGGCAAGAAGUAAGAGAUCAUGGCCGUCUGAAAACAACAACAAUAAAUAGAUGGAUAACAGAUGAAGGGAAUUAAAUCAAUGACUCAGGCCUCUCUGUACAGUCAGCCAUUAGAUGAGUGUGCAGAGAUCAUCGACAAAUUGUAAUCUUGGAUAGGUGCAGAGCUAAAAUUAUUCCACAGAAAAUACGUUUUAACUCUAUUUUAGAGGGGAUAUCUGACUCCACUACCGUCAACAUCAUGGACUCGGUUCAAGUCCAUUUUUAGAGAAGUACUUUUAGUUGAUGUCCAAGUAAAUUGUCUGCCUGCAACGCAAAAAGACAAUCUGAUACCAUGAUACACGACAAUACGAACGCCUCAUGCUGAACCAUCAUAUUGCUACAUGUUGAGUUGAAUUGCACUGGCUGUAUUGUAUAAGACUGUAUGUAAGAGGGGAACAUAAGAGCUUUGCCAUCAAGAUACGAGAAAAACCUGCUGGAUGUCUUAAGUUUUUCUCACUGACUGAGAUUAAAGGGAUAUUCCGGUGUAAAAUUAAGUUAGGGUCGAACACAUCGUAACACCGAGUUAGACACCCCCUUGAGUAACGACCGCACGAUAGCAAUACACAACGGUCUAUGUGGGUGAGUUGUUUUUGGUCUCUUUGCUAAAGAAAUGAGUCAAAGUUAAAAAGAUGUUUGGUGUCUAGUACUGUGGCUGUGACCCUAUAUGUCCUGUUGAUGAAGUUAGGUGCUGUUCUGAGCAUUAUUUGUGGUUAUAGAGUGGCGUUUUGGUUGAGGUUUGCACAUGGAGACAUAGGUUCUGAUCUACUAAGAUACAAAAUAGCGAGCACUAAAUUGCUUGUGCAAACUGAAAAAUUGCACGUGCUAUUAGUGGGCAUGUUUCGGGUGCAAAAGUGGUGCGGACCGCCCUCUUUAAAGGAGGAUUUUGCGUGUGCUAUCUAACUCGGUGUUACAGUGUGUUUGACCAUAACUUUAAUUUACACCAGAAUAUCCCUUUAAGGCAGCCUUUCUCAUGUGUUUAUUACUCAUCUCUCGAAUCAAGCUUAGGAUCAUUUAUUCAGACCUGUCUGAAUCCAUAAGUUCAUCACUCAGCAUCAACUUUUUAUGUUUUUAGGAGCACCAAGUCAUGCCAACAGUGUGCUUUUAACAUUACAGAGUAGGGGGUCACUGUGAUGGUUGGUUAAUGCUGGUGUUGAAAACCAUAAACUGAAGAAGAAGUUACGUACUAACUAAAGAGCAGGAUCAUUGUUCAUCAGAAAGUAUGCUAGAUAAAGGCGCUCUCACUUUUAGGAGUCUGUUCAGUGGAGAUGCUUCUCAGGCAAAGUCUGCUGUGUAGUCGAGGACGGAGGAGGUGUGAUUGGAGGGAAAAUGCCUUUAACAUCAAAAGCUUUCUCGAGUGUCUGCAGCCACGUCAAAUGCCUUCCAUUCAGUGAGGAGACCUCUUUCGAUAACAGUGUGUCACCUCUUUCUUCUGGGUCACUGAUUUCCGCUGGAUUCAGGAGCUCCUGAUUCAACCGCGGGGGGCAAAGUUCACCGAGGAGUCAAAGUGCACACCACAGGCUGACUUUAGAAAAGGAAAGACUCUCUCUUUCUGUCAGAGUAAAACAGAGAAACCGGUUUAAAAUUUCAGGGCUGUACCUCCAGAGCCAUUUCGUUUCAGCUUGAAGUAAUUAUAUCCGAGGAAUAACGUCAAGAUUUUCACACGCUGUCAACAAGUUAUUCUUUAUUUCAUGCUUAAUUGGCUGCAGGAGCUCGCAGGCGUGUCUCUCCUCAGUAGCAGAGUGUCCUUCGUCUGUUAAUAAUGCAGAGGGAUGGUGAAACUUUAAUUUUCAACUCCAAUGCAUUUGCAGUAACUAUCUGGUGUGUGUUUCUCCUCCUCCUCUCAUAGCUCUCAUAGUCGGGUCACUGUCUCUCUCUGUGCAAACAAAGCUGCACUAUUUAUACUCUUCAAACUCGAUAGCUCUCCUGGACAGUCGUGAACAAUCUGAUAGUGGAUCCUUGAAUGAGACCCCGCGCCUGCAGCAGAGAGCCUGUGACAUUUAAGAUAACACUCACAGGCUCGGCUAAUUAAUACGAGCAAAAGAGUGUUUUCAAACUCAGACCACUUCCAAUUUAUUUUCCCAUUAUUUAAAAAAACAAGCCGGACUCUCUUUUCUGCGCGCUAACUCGGCUUUUCUUUCCAGCACGACCCCGCUAACAUAUGCAGACCUAUGCAGGAGCUUUGAAGCUAAUAUGCUGCUUGUUUGAUCUAUAACUUACUUAUUUUUUACCCAUACACUCCUCUGAUGUCCAACUCUGCUCACUCCGACUUUAUUUAAAGCACACUUUCAUACAUAAAAGCACGUAAAGCUCAAAGUGUUUCACAAAGGAUCAAACAGACCGAGUUGUCCAAAAGAUGAAAUUAUUAAAAAGCAGAAAUUAAAGGAGAAUUUAAUCAAAUAAUAUAUAUUCUGUUUGUACCGUGUAGUACAUUUCAUGUCAUGCUAAUGUGUCUCUAAGUCUAUGUAAAGCUACAGUGGGGGAUUUUGACUUGUGGUGUUUUUGUUCUGUUACGAUAUUGCAUUUUAUUUUUACAGUAGUCCUACUUCAGACGAGGCAAAUAAGCAACCAUUGUUAAGGAUUUUGGGGUGGCCAAUCAGAUUAGGGGGCCCCUAACACCCCCGAUCAACCCUUCAGACACGCCCCUGUGAGUAAAUAGUGUUUUCACCAAAAAUCUGAUUAAAUAUUUCAGAGCAUGUUUCACCCUUGCCUGUUGACAUUGUAGCGAAAACAUUACUUUCUAUCCAGGGCUGGUUUUUAAAGGUUGGAUAUAAUGGUGGAAUUUCUGGAAAAGUAGAUGUGAGGGCAGCCAGAGGAGUGACUGGAUCCAAACCAGGAGUGGAGCAACAUGCUGUCCUGCAAUCCAGGCAACAGCUUCAGAGCUGGAGACUUGUUGACUUGUCUAACUUAAAGGUGAGGUAGUCAGGAUCUGAGUUAGUGCCAGUUUUUAGGAGAAAUCUUGAAUGUAAACUCUACCCCUCCCAACCAGUUUCCCCCUCAGCUCCUCCCCUCCCUCUCUUAAGCCCCGCCCACAAACAGACGCUCCUGCUCGCUCGUAUCGCUCCAAUUAAAUUCAGAUAUAAUGCAGAUAAAUACUUCAGAUCAUUACAAAUGGGGCCCAGUCAAGGUGAAAGUCAAAAGCAUUGGUGCUACUGUAGAUGCCAACAGACUACCAGCAAACACAAUGUUUGCAGGACUUCUACAACGAGGAUAAAGUGACAUAGUCCAGGACCCGAGGGAGGACAGUUUAGCGAUGGCGCUACAACACGCUACAGCAGGUCCGUUUGACAAGAAACACUUCUGUUACAGACACUUGUCUUACUUUGUUAAAGCGGUUUACCUGUCCAGCAGAAAGGUUACAGGGUCACCAAGAUCCCCAAGCGUCCCCCAUCGUUUAUGUUGACCCGGCUUUUUAGCUCUUGUCCGGUCUACCUCCGUUUUAAGCGCCCGUUAUUCCUCCAGAGUCUCCCGUAUUUACUUUGUUUUCUUGCUUGUGUCGGCAGUCGUGGCCAAAGGAGGAUUCAGACAAUUUUCCAAACUUUCUAGUUGGUUUCUACUGUCCGAUAUUGUAGCACGCUAACUUUGUUUGGACUCGUGAACGUUAUUGGAGGACGUGGAGCGUGCCUCACAACACGAGGGAGCAGCGUCUGCCUCAUAACCAAUCAGGUUGGGGGGGCGGAGAAUGGCUUUGUUUACAUUUAGAGAGAGCGGCCGCUCAAACAUUUUAAAAUGUUGACGACACAGACACAAGAGAACACAGUGAUAUCGUGAUAUUCCCAAAUGUCAUCAAUAACUAAUAACUAAUAUAAAAUUUUUCGUAUAUACAGCACAAAAAAGACGUUUCUUUAACGGAUUCCUGCCGACCCAAUCUUUAAUCUUUGAUGAAAAUGUCCUCUUGACCUCGCCCGUCAGGAAGGCUGAUGUAAAUCUGUUGUCAUGGAAGCAUCAUCAGCUGUUAAAUCAAUUCCCUUUUUAGCGGUAUCAAUUAAUAUUUUCUAAAUCUCUACAAUGAUGUCCAUAUCACGAGUUCGACUCGGCUUUUUUAGAUCUUUGUCUGGCAGUCAGGCGAUAUGUCAGGUAAAGUAAGGUGAGGGAUGCAAAUUAGAGUCACUCCACUCCCUGCCAGAGUUUUGUCUCGCUCUGUCUGGAUUUAAAUCUACAUAACCACCCGCCCACUGUUCAGAAAAAACUAAAUAUGAAGAAAAAUAUAAUAGAUUGUUUUUAAAGUGUAGCAGCUUUUUAACACUACCAUCAUAACUCCAGCUCUUAUGUUAGCGUGAUUAGAACAUCCCUCUCCUGUGUUUUGGUUCAGUGUUUAUUCCUGCCAAACGGGCCGUCAUGACUCAGGGAAAUAUUCACUUCUGACUUUCUGACAUGGAGACACACGUGGGAACGUUUCCUCCGGUGGGGAAGCGUAGGAUGACAGAUGUGACCUUUGGGCUCGCGCCAGAUAUCAGAGCUCGGGGAGAGACGAGGGCGAGCCGCGCGCCUGGUGUUACUAACACUGAGGCUGAUGGAUGAAUCACACUGAAAUCCUCACAGUCUCUGCCUCUGGCUUUGUUCAGGGUCAACACAGAGACAGUUUGUACGAGUCCAUCUGAGUUUUUUUGGAUGCGUCAUCAUCACUGAGGAUUAUAAUGUGGCUCAGGAGUUUUCUGCAUGCAAUAAAAAGUCAGUGUGAUCUCCUGGAAACCUUUAAUAAAUCUUCCACAGCGUUAGGCUGAGGACAAAUCACUGCUGUAGGACCCCCGGUGGAAGACACUAUUGAUUAUAGAUGUCCACUUGUACCCUCAGACAGUCACGCAUUUGGUUAAUGUUUUUUGACAGGUGAGGAAAUGCAAUUUAAAUAGAGCUUUAUAUAAAGUGCAACUCUUUAAUUAAUACUAACAAAACAGGCAAGGUGCGACCAUAUAAAGUAGGAUAUGUUUCAUACCUUAACGUCUCGCUAUGACAUCCUGGACUUAUGAUUUCAUCAACCAAUCACAUCCUUCUGACAUCAACACUCUUACUCUUGUGCUUUUUUCUGUUUUACGAUCACCCGGAAAGGUUUAAAGCUCAAAAGAAAUGAUCAAAAUCCUCAGUAAAAUCUUCAACUGUAUCUUUACAUGAGUCUAAAAGUGGUAAAAUGAAAAAAGCACAGCGUUACAGUCGGAUAUACCUCGUCAUGGUGAUGCUCCUUGGGUUGCCAUGAGAGGAUUUGUGUCAGUUUAACAACACAAAUAUAAAAAUAUACAUAUUUUUCAUGUUAGAAGUGUACAAAUCCUUAAAAUUCACGGUGAAAGCAGCUCGAGUUUUGGUGGGGUAGGAAAGGAAAAGAUGGGGAUAGGACGAGACAAGGGGUGAUGAGAUGGUAUGGGAUGAGAACGGAUGAGAUUGGAUCCAGUUUGAUGUAAUGGCGUGGUUUGAGAUAGGGUAGGAGAGGAUAUAAUUGGGAUAGGAUGGGAUAGUAUAGGAAAGGUAAGGUUGGUUGGGGUAGGAUUAAAAAGGAAAGAAUGGUAAAAAAACAUGAUCGCGUGGAAUCGGAUAUGCUAGUAAAGAUUGAGAUAGGAUAUAAUGAGGAAGGAUGAGAAAGGAUAGGAAAGGAUGUAUAGAAAAGAUUAGGAUAGGAUGUAUAAAUCUAGAAGUUGCAUAAAGGAAAAGCUUUUUAUCUUCAGGUUUUUGAAAAUUGUGUUUUAAAGAAGUUCAAUUACCAUAACUUCAUGAUAAUAAAAUAUACUUUAUAUCAAAGAUGCAUACAUGUGAGUACUCCCUUGGUAUGCCACUUGACAUUAAUUCACUAAAACACAGUCUAAAAUGAAUCUAGCUGUGAUUUAAAAACCUGUUGGUUCUGAUGAGCUUUGGCAGAUAGCAAAAAUACAACACCACAGAUUCAAAACAGUGAAUGAGCUGUUAGUGUGAUCACACCCAAGUUAAUCAUCAAGUUGGCUGUUAACAGCUGGCACAUGGAGCCAAUUAAAUAUUUUACUAUGUUUCAUUAAUGUGAGAGGAGUAGCAGCUUCUCUUAAACUGACAGGACAGUUCAACAGAUUCUGGUAAUGGUUGUGCAAUGAUGCACUGUGCUGAAAUCACCUCGGGUUCCUAUUAACAGCUCAAAUUUCUCUCGCCUAACGGUGUUUGAUAUUUUAAGUAAAUGAAAGAGAAAACAUCAACAACACCAGAAUGAGCGAAUAUAUUCUGGGUAAAUAAUAAAAAGCAACACGGACAAAGAAAGUUUGUUGUCCAAAUGUUGAUGAUAUAAAUAAUUGGGACAUUAGUCUUUGAUUUUGGAUGAUUGAAAUGAGGAUGAUUGUGUUUUUGCUGAUAGAAUUGAAGGAGAGGAGGAUGGCUGUAACAAUGGGAUCAUAGUAAGGAUGAUGAUUAUGAUGAUGAGCCUUUGUACCAGCUCAGAAGAUGAAGAUUACUUCAUAACUACUCCUGCUGGAGCUUCUGCUGAUGAGGAUACAAUGAUGGUGUGAUGAUUAGACUGUUGGAUAAAACGGUGAAGAAAAUGAUGAUGAAGAUGGAAGCUGAUUAUGUGGAGGAGGAGGAGGAAGAUGAUGAUGAUGUGGUAAUGAAGAUGGUGAGAAGAAGAUGAUGACUGUGCUGAUUAUGAUCCUUCUUUCCCUAAUUUUCAUGAAGCAGCACCCUCACUGCUUUUUUGAUUAAACUUUGGAGUCAUCACUGACAAUAACAUGAAAAGGAGUUGAGUACAGUGGCCCUGAUGGUAAAUGGCUCAAACAUUUUCUAACCAAAAAAUUUAAAAAUAAAGACAAAUAUUUCGUAAAAGAAAAAUUCCUGAAAACAAAAAGUAGAUUAAUUAUUUUGUUUUCGUUUCCAUCUCUAUAAUAUUUUCUGCUUUGAACUGAAAAUACGACAACAAACACUAAUCUUUUAUUUUUUGGUUAUAUAGGAAAAACAAAUAAACAAAAUAUUGACUUGUUUUUUCGUUUACUAGAUUGAAUGGAAUAAUUGAAUAGAUGGAUAAUACAUGGACCUUCAUGAAAGAACGUGGACCAUGCAAACAGGAGAUUCCCA
rnacentral:lncRNA from 1 species